rnacentral:rRNA from 1 species
AUUGAACGCUGGCGGCAGGCCUAACACAUGCAAGUCGAGCGGAGAUGAGGUGCUUGCACCUUAUCUUAGCGGCGGACGGGUGAGUAAUGCUUAGGAAUCUGCCUAUUAGUGGGGGACAACAUUCCGAAAGGAAUGCUAAUACCGCAUACGUCCUACGGGAGAAAGCAGGGGAUCUUCGGACCUUGCGCUAAUAGAUGAGCCUAAGUCGGCUUAGCUAGUUGGUGGGGUAAAGGCCUACCAAGGCGACGAUCUGUAGCGGGUCUGAGAGGAUGAUCCGACACACUGGGACUGAGACACGGCCCAGACUCCUACGGGAGGCAGCAGUGGGGAAUAUUGGACAAUGGGGGGAACCCUGAUCCAGCCAUGCCGCGUGUGUGAAGAAGGCCUUAUGGUUGUAAAGCACUUUAAGCGAGGAGGAGGCUACUGAGACUAAUACUCUUGGAUAGUGGACGUUACUCGCAGAAUAAGCACAGGCUAACUCUGUGCCAGCCGCCGCCGUAA